ensembl:lncRNA novel transcript
UUAGCUUCCUCAGGAGAGCUGUUAGGGAAGCUUCUUUUUUGCUCCGUGGAAAUGGAGCUUUUCUGUGUUUCGAGUGAAAAUGAAUGUAACACAGCUGAGAAUGGAUGCAAUGGUCAUUCCAGUCUUGAGAUCAGAAAGUGCUCCAGAAGGAAGAAGGUUGUCACUGAACACCACUCAGGUUUAGAAUCAAGUCCAUAUGCCAACUAGCAUGGAAGAAGGGAUAAUCACUAUCCUUGUUUUUAAAAGAAAACAAAAAAACCCCCUGCAGUUGAGGUUUGAAAAAUCCAGUCUAAAUCUGGGUGCUACCUCCAAAGUGACACGCAACAUCCCUUCAAACAAUAACCAGAAAAACCCAAGCACAUUUCACAUUCAAAAAAUCACUUUUGCCUUGGUCUAAAAACAUCAUCAUCUCUAAUGUCUACCCGAAACCAGCUGACAGUAUUCCAUUUGCUACCGGAUAAAUCUAAAAUCUUGAGCACGCCCCAGAAGCACUCACAAUUGGACCCCAGACUUCGAUGGUAUCAUCUCUUGCUAUUGCUCCCUCACUGCAUUCUCAGCAUCCUUUCAUCUUGCUAUACCUUUCAUUUCUUGGGGACUUUGUGUAUCAGUUCUCACUGCCUAGAGAGCUGUUCUCCCAUUUUCCUCCAGCCAAGCCCCCACUCAUUCUGCAAGACUCAGUUUAACUGGAACUCAUCAGCAACACUUUCCCUUAUUCUCAAGUUAGAGAUGGGCACUGUCUAAUCUGUGACUUUGAAGAACCUUACACAUAAAUAUGUUUUCUUAAAACA